CCAAGCUGUGACAGGGAUGUUCAAUCUCUACCGAGCAUCUCAAUUACUAUUUCAAGGAGAGGAGAUUCUUGAGGAUGCCAAGAACUUCUCAACCAAAUUUUUAACUGAGAAACGUGAAGCAAAUCAGCUCCUAGAUAAAUGGAUCAUUACCAAAGAUUUACCUGGCGAGGUGAGUUAUGCUCUGGACGUCCCCUGGUAUGCUAGUCUGCCAAGAAUGGAGACAAGAUUUUACCUUGAACAAUAUGGUGGUAGCAGUGACGUUUGGAUUGGCAAGACCCUUUAUAGGAUGCCUUUCGUGAACAAUGAUGUUUAUCUCGAGCUUGCAAAAUUGGACUACAGCAUCUGUCAAGCAGUGCAUUGUGUAGAAUGGGAAAAAAUCCAAAGGUGGUACUCGGACGCAGGGCUAGAGAGAUUUGGAUUGAGCAAACAAAGUCUACUACUUGCUUACUUUAUAGCAGCAGCCAGCAU
rnacentral:sRNA from 1 species